rnacentral:lncRNA from 1 species
UGCCCCACUGCCUGUAUGCUUUCGAAACCUCCACUAGGACCACACUAGGAACCAUUUCUUACAAGAACUCACUACCCAAGAAUCAGAUUUAGAUAUUCAACACUUGAACAAUCUGAAUCUAAAGACAAGCAUCACAUGCUUUCUAAUUUUCUCUUAUCUUCUUUUCUAUUUUUUUCUCUCUUUUUUAUCAUCUUUUUUUUAGACUUUUUCUUGUCUUUUUCCUC